UUUGUGGAGGGGGCGAAAACCCCUCUUUAAAGCUGAGUGUUCCCUUUCUUAUCAGAUGGAGCCAUCCUUCCCAAUGACACCCAUUGUGGCUCGUUAAUGGAAAGCCAUUAAAACUCUGGAUCAAUAUUUUCUCAGGAGAGAUAGGGGUCUAUUCAAUGCCAUUUCCCAGGGAAGCAAAGAAACACCAAUGAUCCACGGGCAAAACAGAGCAGAACUGCUGAGGAUGCAGCUUCUGCUCCAGCACUAUGUGGGGGAUGGAGUGUCCCCCCCCUCUGGAAAGGGGGAAAAUUAAAGGGAGGUCCUUAUUUUCAGCUCCUAUUUGGAAAGAGAGUGACCAGAUCUCUCAGAAUUUUUGUAAAUACUAGCCAGAAAGCAGGAAACUGCAAUCUGCCCUAAUUUAGUUCCUUUCAUCUGAGCAUUCAAGGCAUCCAACAGCAUCUCUAAGAAACGAAUAGGGGCUUUGCAGCUUGCGUGGAGGUGCAGUCAGUUGGGGUUUUGCUUUGCUAAGCGUUACAUUGCAGCUCUCACCCACCUGAUCUGCUCCUGACUUCCCAUCCCAUGUCCUUGUUUCCUCCUGAAGGUGAUGUCCACGCUCUUUGCCACAGUGCAAUCUGGCUCAGCCUCACUGAGCGUGGGGGGGUUGUUGAUUUAAUCCAUUAAUUGCAGGAAUUAAUUUUCAUGAGAUGUUGAGGAAAGUAAUAGGAAGAGCUGCAGGCUGCUUACUGGGUCCGGGGUGGAGGGAGCGCUGCCUGAUUGCCACUGGGGCAUCAUUUCUAUAUAUACAGCCACCAAAAGCAGUGCUAAUGGAGAAGCCCAGCAGUGAUGUCCUCACCUGAAGUGCCCCGUGCCCUCCUGGUGGUGUGAGGGCUGGAGAGCAACAGGUUGGUAAAAGAAAUCUGGGAGGCAAGAGAUUUCCACGCUUAAUUAACUUCACAAAUUAAUCCCAAUUAGAAACUCUUAAUUGGGAUGAUGGCUGUUAAUCAUCUUUCCACCCCAAGCAACAGCCUCACUAUCUUAACUUCAUCAUGAAAUCUGAGGGCACGGAGCUGUGCAGCCUGAGCACAAGCACAGCCCCAUAGGAUUUGGGGUCCCGUUGCAGGGUCUGAUCCCAUCCAUGGUGGGGAAUGGGUGGGGGGUGGGGAGCACAGCCCCCGUGGCCCUAAUAUCACCACUGCUUUGGCUGUAGCAGCCAGAAGAGAAAGGUGUUGCCCUGGAGGAGCACACACUGCGCUCCAGCAUCUCCCCCAGGGCUGGCACCAAGGGGGGUCUGCUAUACGUGCUGCUGAACGGGAGAAUAAGAUCUCAAGGAGCCCAGUGAUGCUGGUAUUUCCCUGUUGGUGACUGGCUCAGAAUCCUCAACAGGACAGUAGAAUAAAAUUCAUCUGCAUCCGCCAUGCAUCAUUUUUACAAAUCUCUUCUCCGAGCAGAGGGAUGCUGUGCAGCGUGGCAUGGAGAGAGAGCUGAGUAUCCACACACCUGUCAGCAGUGGGAAGGCAUUGGGGAGGGGUGUGAGGGGGUGGCAGCAGGAGGGAAGAUUGGUGCUGUGUCCUGGUGGGUUAGGAGAGCAUCCAGCCCCUGUGUGGGCAGCAGGCUCGUGCCCACGUCCAACUGCUCGGCCAGAUGCGGGAGUUGCACUGUUUACUGCUGGGGGAGUUGGGGGGAUGCUCUCCAUCAGGGGGAGCUGCUAUGGGAACCCCUGCGAACCCCCAGUGCUGUGGAUGGGGAGGGGGAAGCCUUGUUGCCAUGGUAAUUGGUGAGCCAGUGGAGAGCCUGCUGCCAUGGGAACCAGUGGGGGACUGCGUGGGACCAUCCCAUGAGGCUGUCCCUACGAUGGGGGACGGUGUGUGGGUCCCUGCGGCGUGGGACUGGCAGAGCAUCAGCAGUUCCCUGGAUGGGACCGGCUCUCCUCUGAGUUGUCAGCUGAGCAGGAAAUACCUCACACGUGGCUUACAUGUGGAGCAUGGAUGAGACAAGGCAUCCCAUUUAAAGGACUUGAUUCAUCUGUUCUGACACUGCUGGCCUGGGUGAGACCUUGAUGGCUGUGCAGGGAGACUGUGUGGAUCUCCGCUGCGAAUCAUUCAGGGCAUUUUAUUCAGGGCUUAUCUUUCAUUUCACUUCAGUAGAUUAUAAAGACAAAAAGUCA